AAAGUCGUAACAAGGUCUCCGUAGGUGAACCUGCGGAGGGAUCAUUACCGAGUGAGGGCCUCCGGGCUCGACCUCCAACCCUAUGUCGUUACAACCACGUUGCCUCGGGGGUGACCCGGCCUUUGCGUCGGGGCUCUCCGCGGACCCAACCAUUAAACUCUGCGUCUUUGCGUCGGAGUCAUAAAGUAAAUCAAUUAAAACUUUCAACAACGGAUCUCUUGGUUCUG
rnacentral:misc_RNA from 1 species